AUGAACGAGGGUGAACAGGGCGGCCAGGGAUCCGAAGGGGGGACCCCUUCAGUCCUUCGCCAUUCACUUUCCCCUCUAGUCUCACACCCCCCUUUAUAUUCCGCUUCACGUGGGGUGCGGGGCAGGAGGGAGGGGAAGACAAGGCAAGGGGGAGACAAGUGGAGGGGGUGGGAAAACCGAGAAAUGCCCACCUUCUCCCGACAACUCAAAAGCCACCUCAACCCCUCCUCCCGCCGCGGCGGCGGCGGCGGCGGCGGCCGCUGCAAAACCCUCCCGGUCGCUCUGCACGAAAGCAGCGCGGAGCGAGUGUCGCCUUCCCCUCGCCACCCCCAGCGCCGCCGCCGCCGGCGAGCCCCGAGCUCAGUGUCGCUCAAACCUCCCCUCCCGGCCCCGCUGUCCCCGCCCGGCCCUCCCCCCACGCCCCUCGGACCCUUUCAAACCCCCUGGGCUCGCGGCGGCUGUUCCGUGAGCAAACGCUGGCCGCGGCUGGGGCCGGGGCGGCGAGGCUCGGAGCGGGGCGGCGGCGGGGCGCCCGGUACGGUGAGCCCAGCAACGAGGCGCGGGCGGGCGCGCAGAGACGCCGGGUCCUCGCGGAGCACGGCCGGGGCGCGGCGGCGGCACUGGCAGCGGGAGCCCAGGGACCGCUCCAUCACUGGCAGCCAUGGAGCCCGAGCAUUUUCCUCCCUCAGGGCAGGCGCCUCGGCUCGGCACACGUCCUCGGGGAGGAAGGGGCCGGCGCCCGAGCCUCCCCGGAGGGCGGCGGGAUGUGCGCUAGCGCAGAGGGGUGCGAGCUGCUCCUGUCCUCUUCCUCCUCAGCCGGCUCGUCCUCACCCUGCUGCUCCCGCGGCCCGGGCGGGAGGGGGCCGCAGGCAGCGGCGGCUCCUUUCUCGGCGGCGUUGGUGGCCAGACGGGCUGGUGCAAGCGACUGCAGCCGACGCCGUUCAAAGGAACGAGAGACCUGGGUCAGAGCCCAAAGUCAGAACUGAGGCCAAAGGGACAAUUUUGCUGAGGACUCUUGCUGCUGCUAAGGGCUGUCCAUCCAUGGAAGACUUCCCCUGCCAGCCCCGUCCUGAGGCAGCUGUUUCUGGUGGGCAGCUGCAGCAUGGUGCCUUUCGUGCACAUGGCUUGAGGAGGGAGCCAUGGAUCUGUGCUACUGGAAUGCUGUGGGAUUGUCUUCUGACCAUCAAGCUAAGACCCAAUAAGGCCAGCAUCCCAAGCAGGAUUAGGGCUGAAUUCUAAUUCAGCCUUCUCUCUGGAAUUGCUCGCCCACCAACACAGAACUGGUAUAACUGGGCCGCGCUGAAAGUCUGGCCUGCUCACCAGAUAUUGGCAGCAAGCCAUUCUCUAUGGAGAUGUUUGUUUGAUGUUCAAAACAUGCAAACUUAGCAUCUUUGGUAAAGGAGAACAAUAACCUUUUCUUAUUCAACAUAAACGAUGAUCCUUUUUUACAACAACAGCAAAAAAGUCAAUAAAAAACUCAGUUUGAAACCAGAUUUUUUCCCCAAUAUGAAUAAGAGUUCAGUUAUUUUCUCCCCUAAGCUUUGGAAGUGCUCCUCUCUUUUUGGACGGUUUUGUAUCUCCUUUCCAGUACAGAUGUCUAUUGCCUUGAAGGCUUUCACAAGAGAAUUUAAUCCUUGGCAGUGAAAAGAAAGAAUCCCACGGGGCAAGUUGGGGGGCGGGGGGGAGGAAGAAGAGACUGGCCAAGUUGAAGGAGGUUGAUUUGAAUGGAAAAAUCCUUUAGUCAUGCCAAAGAUGUGAAAUUAUCAAAGACACAAAGAUCUUAUAUAGAAAAAAACUAUAUAGAAAAAAACACAAACUCUUUCCGUACCCCAACUGUGAUGUCAA
rnacentral:lncRNA from 1 species